rnacentral:pre_miRNA from 1 species
GCACCUCGAUCAGUUUAUUUUUUUGCAAAAAAUAAACUGAUCGAGGUGCUU